CUAAGCCCCGAGCUUUGCCAGGCAGAGCGUCUACGAUGGGAAACAGUCAGGCUUGAAGGCUCAUACACCCACAACCCAGGACUCCAUUUCCGCGAGAGUCACAUGACCGCAUCACAUGACAGAGGCUAGUUUUUAUCCCCGUGGUUCCUGGGAGGCCUCCAAACCCAGAGUGGCCUCACCACUUUUCCCACAGCCGUCUGGGGAAUGGACUGCGGACCUGAAGGAUCCACUGCCAAACAUUCUGAGAGCGGUCAGUGGCAUCUAGGGGAAGGCGUGGUGAAGACAUGCCCUCAUCUGAGGCCUUGACUGGCCGUCUGGACAAAGUGCUGCAGCGACUGGAAGGAGAAGGAGAGGCAUGUUGGGACCAGAGACUGACCAGCUUUACCACUUGGAAAACUUUAGACACGAUGAAGGGAAGAAGAAGAAAGGCAAGCGGAGCUGCUGGCAAAGGAGCGCCAGCCCUGCACGGGGCCCCUGCUGCCUGGGGCUGGUGCAUCAUGGGAGACAGAGCCAUCUCCAAAUCAGGAGGGAGACAUUAAAGGAGUGCAAGUGGGAAAGGAAAAGAGAGAGAGAAAAGACAGAGAAGAAAAGAGAAAAAAAGGGGGAACAGAAACACUGUCAAGUGCAUACACAAACACACACACACACAAAACUCUUCCACACACACAUACCUGUGUUUGGAUAUGAAGACAAAAGAAUUUCAUAUCUCUUUUCUUGUCUCAAACAGAUCCACCUCCUAACCUGUGUCAGUCUGUUCUAACUCAGUUCCUUAAACCUUCCCACGACAACUUUAGCAGGUCAACAAAAUCUUGAAUUCAAAGCGCAUACACUGUCUGACCCAAAUACUAAUGGGACCAUCAGGGUGGGAAUAGAGGAAAGCGGAAUUGAAUGGUGAUGUGCCUCCUAUUCAUCUGCUGGGAUGUAAAUUUAGCCAGUUCGAAGAGUAAUCUGAAGUUAUGACAAUUUAUGACACUACAGUUACUGAGAUGGAAUACAGAGAUUACUACGCAAGUUUAUAUUUACAGUCCUACAGAAGCUACUGGGAUGGUAGGAAAGAAGGGGCUUGAAACAGCUGAAGAAGAAGUGAAGUUGUAUGUAAAUCCUGCCUUUCAUUUACCCCGACUUUUAUAUGAAAAUGAGUGAGGGAAUGAAAUAUAGUAUUCUGUCACAACAUAAGCUCUAAAAAUAAAUAAAUAAAUAAUUAAAAUAAAAUAAAGCACAACUCCUCGAGGGAAUCCGGACCCAGUUGUCUGUCAGCGUGUAAAAGUUUGAGUUUAGCUGAUUACAAAAAAGGAAACACUGAGACAGGAAGUAAAACUUAAGGAAGUAGGACUUACAGGAAAGUGGGGUAGCGUAACCUGGCCAUUGAUCUUGACACUGCGAUGCAUCUCUCUCUGGAGCUGCUUCUUGGUGCCAAGCUUGUAUGGAGGAAUUCCAUCUCUGUAAAACCAAAGAUAUUAUAGAUUUACAUUAAAAAAAAAAACCGGACAGUUUUUCUUUCUUAUUCAUAAAUUACUUAUCUAUUAUAACCAACUACCCAGUGGAUGUUAUUUUUGAUGAUUUACUACUACUCUGUCAAGCAGGUCACAAUAUUUCCACACCAAUAGUUAGUGCAUUAGCACCAUUAGCCAAUCUUUGUGGAGAAAGAGCCCUUAGGAGGCAGUUUAUCAUUGAAGUGACCGACAAGGCACCACCCAGUAACCACCCACUAGGCACAUUACAGUUAAAUCAAAAGGCCAGGGAGCCCUUGAAGCCAAGGCAACAAAAACACACAUAACAAAACACACCAGAACAAUGGGAGAGAUAUGCUAAACAUCCCUACAGGCUUCAAAAGAAGAGCCCCACUGAUAAGAUUACAUCAGUCCUUGUCAACUCUGACAGGAGUUGUUUAACAAGACUAGGUCAAAACCUAGUAUAUGGCUGGACCGCCCUUUUAUCUGUUUCCUUCUCUCCUACUCUCUGUGCUCAC